CGCAUUAGAUCGAGACUUAACAAAAACUAACAAUCAAUUAGUGCACUGUAGUAGAACAUAUACUAUAAUUUGGUGGUCUGGUGGCAUUUGUAUUUAUAAACAAAUGUGUACUUGUAUUGAAUCUUUGUUAGCGUUUAAAUUUACUGAAUAUAAAGCGUAUAAAUUUGCUUGUAUUUUUAAGUAAAGGUACGGAUUCUGAUGAUAAGAAUGAGCUAAGGGAAGCAUUAUGUGUGUCAUUACCUAAGAAUUGUUCUGUUUCAGUAUUAAAGAAAUCGCAGUUAAGGAGGUAGUGGUGUUCGGUGCCAACCUGACCCGAAUUACAUAGCCUGCAGACUCUAUCUUCAAAUGGGGUUCCGUCGUAUCGGCCCGUCUCGACUGGAAACCAGUGGUUAGCAGUCCUGAAUUGGAAUAGGGAAGGUGCUGGUGGAUGCUUGAUGGAAGACUGAUUGCAGCUCAUCAGUUAUGUGCUCUAUGGUCUGCUGCGAUUUGGGGUUGGAUGAGGGUUCUGUCCCCCCACUGGCCUAAUGGCUAUGGUUGCUGUCUGCUGUGGUCCUACUAUGGUUAUUGGACUGUGGAGUGUCCCUUAGAGGGCACACGGUUAUCAGUACGCGCAGAAUCCCAGGGGCGUUGGAUGCUGGGCACAGAUGACUGGGUGUUCAGUGGAGUGAUUCUGUGAUUAAACUACUUAUAACUAAAAGUAGUUGCAGAUUCACAGUUUGCUAUUUUGAGUACAUUUUGCGGAUUACUGAAUGCAACAAUGUGUGAAGCAAUUACAUUUGUCGGUGUUUAAUUGCUUUCACGGGAGGGUUUUUGUCAGCAGUUGCAGAUUCACAGUUUGCUAUUUUGAUACAUAUUAUUGUAUGCCACUAACUAGUUAAUUGUUAUGAUUAGCUGAUUAGUGGGCCUAAAUAACCGAAUCAUUGACAUAUU